GGGCCCGCACAAGCGGUGGAGCAUGUGGUUUAAUUCGAAGCAACGCGAAGAACCUUACCAGGUCUUGACAUCCUUUGAAAACUCUAGAGAUAGAGCGUCCCCUUCGGGGGCAAAGAGACAGGUGGUGCAUGGUUGUCGUCAGCUCGUGUCGUGAGAUGUUGGGUUAAGUCCCGCAACGAGCGCAACCCUUAUUGUUAGUUGCCAUCAUUCAGUUGGGCACUCUAGCGAGACUGCCGGUGACAAACCGGAGGAAGGUGGGGAUGACGUCAAAUCAUCAUGCCCCUUAUGACCUGGGCUACACACGUGCUACAAUGGGAAGUACAACGAGCAGCGAACCUGCGAAGGUAAGCGAAUCUCUGAAAGCUUCUCUCAGUUCGGAUUGUAGGCUGCAACUCGCCUACAUGAAGCCGGAAUCGCUAGUAAUCGCGGAUCAGCACGCCGCGGUGAAUACG
rnacentral:rRNA from 1 species